GCUGGGCAGGCCCUCUUGCAGCGCGGGCGUGGAAGGCUUUAGAAUAAAAGUACAGUUGUGCUUUUAGUGACUGUCAGCAUCAAACCGCUUUGAACCCAGACACACAGCAGCUUCGUGGCGCUUUUCUUUCACGUCCCGCUAUGUCCUCAGACAGUACCAUGGACUUGGACUUGGAGCUUGGUGAGUUGCUCCAGGAGUUCCAGGAUGUGGUGGAGGAGCUGAAGGCCCCUUCUCAAAGCAGACCGCAUGCUUACCAGAAAGCACUGCACGAGGCCAAAACUCUCACAGGGCUGAGUGAAGACAGUGGAGUCGAGGACUCAGAUUACAGUAAGUUAUUCGGAAAAAAAGAAAAAAAGUACGUUAGAGCAGUGAUUAAGAUAAUAUCUUCCUAAUGUACAAAGUGUGGGGGAAGGAAAGUAAUUAUUUAGUGCAUCAUGCUGGUGAGUGACAUUGUUUGGAGUCCCCGUGGACUCCAGUUGAGCCCCUUUAUCAGCCCAAACAACUGCAGCUUGACACAUUUAAUUUGCAUGAAAUUAGUGGUACAAGAGGACACAUCCCUACACACUUCCAUUAAAGUGGCUGUUUGUGCUCGUGACAAUAGCUGUGUACUGGAAUGAGCUGCAAUUACGGAUAUCCCAUCUUGUGUAAUUGUCUUUCCCCCCUUUGUUCUGCAUUUGUCGACGGUUAUAAGAUAAAAGAAGAAACCGUUUCCCCCCCCCUCUGCUCCCAUGUGUCGUCAUUAUUGAAAGUAUUUUGCCCCCCUAACGAUUCAACAGGCAAAGUGCUUUCAAAGACUUACACAUGGGAGUCACUAGCGCCGAACACUUACCUUUUAAUUUUUUUUAUCGCAUGUUAUCGUCAUUAUGUGCAACUCCUGCAUUAUGUUAGAGUUUUGUCAUUGUCACUGAUCAUUUGCACGGACUGCCCUUAGUGCUUGUUAUCUCCUUUCACUCCCUCUUUGCUUCUCUCUCUUCCCCCAGGCAGUGAACCAUCUAUGGGGAACAGUUUGAAUGCCAGUGAGGAGGAGCUCCACACAGCAGGAAUAACGCUGGCAUCAAAAGGUACUGGAGCCUUCUAUCAGCUCAUCUCCAUCUAGAUAGCCUCAGUUCUUACAGCGAUCACUAUCACUUUAUAAGAGCCACACAGUAAGCAUCUGCAAUGCCCUGGAAUCUGUCUUGGUUUACACAACACAGCAACUUCCACUGUGGCUGUGACGUCUCAGCGCUCUUCUUUCAAAGCUCCUGCGUGGAGUCAUUUGUGCUGUUAUAUGCAGUGAUGAGACCGGCUCUUGGCUGCAUGCACAUGUGGAUUAAUGAGUGCUGCUGCAGUUGCAUGCACAGACUACUGUUAAAGUUAAACAUCAGGUGACCAGAAAGUGUCAAUCAUAUUUUUUCAUCAAUUUUUUUUGGCUUUGCAUGGAAAAAGCUUACAACAGAGAGAUCCUGGUGGGAGCGAGGCUGCCAAGGUUUUUUUUGGAACUCUUAAAAUCAGCUUUAUCUCAGUUUGAAUAAAAGGAACCCAAGAUUUAUUUUUUUUUGCCAGUUCAGUUCGUACUUUAUGUAAUGCAGAGACUUAGAUAACUUCAGCGUUUGGUCCAAAGGAAAUAGGCUACCACUGAACUGAGCUGCAUUUCUCUACAAAAAUGUUCCACUGCAGCUCUUUUUUUUGUUAUAGUUUCUCAAAUUCCAUUUCUUUCUGUCCUCUUUCUGCAGCCAAGCUGGGAGACACAAGUGAUCUUGAGAGUUUUAUCGACAUGUUGGACCGGGAACUUGCUGGUGCGUAUUUAAGAAAAUUACACCCUCUAUCAUCCAAUCUUUUCUUGAUUUCUUUUGUACUGAGUUGACAAGCCAGCAGGGUGGAGUAUGUUACAGUGGCAGAGACGCGCUAACAUGAGCGUGGUGUAUGUUUUGGACUGUGUAGCAGUAUCCACCUUGUUUCUACAGUGUACUGUACCCCCUGCUGUUUAUCUCUGAGCACCCUUUAUGUGUAAAUGCCAUGUCUGGGGACUCAGGUGGACUAUCUACACGCCCUUUAGUGAUAAUGGCAUACUUGACUACAUGAGCGUCAUGAUCCUGCUAUCAGCGGUAAAGCAGUGGUGUUUCAGAGGCCCCUAAACACACACGCAUCACCCAGAGCACGCACACAAGCAACAGGGAGCAAAGCAUAAAUCCACUGCUAUCAGUGGUCUCGACACAAAGCGAAUUAACGUUACAAAUUAAUCGUAACUCCCCAUGUAUCUCUACAAGUCUCACUUAGUCACUGCAUGUUUAUGUGUUUGUUUACAUGCCUGUGCUUUUUUUUCUUCUUUCUUUUUGCAGAGAUGUGAACGGAGAGCAAAAGUGAGCCACGUACAAUAAUGGAGGGGGGGAUAGGGAAUAGGCUGGGGGCGACACGACUGGCUACUGCUGAGCAGAAAGAGAGAUAUACACCAGAGCAGAUCUGAUGGAGCAAAUGGUCCCCUCGCCGCUCCGGGGGAAAAGGUUAACAUCCGAAAUUAAAAGGGCAGUCCAUUCCGAAAAUGCAAGAACUCCCACAGACCCCCGGCGAUGCUGCGUCCAGCCAGCAAAGACAACGUCUCCCUGCAGCAUCAGAUCCAGGAUGUGUGACAUAUUCCUGAAAUGAGACAAAGCUUCCAUCUGUUUGGGCAUAUGACAAAAAAGAAAGAAAAAACACAGCAAAAACACUGCCUGGAGUAUAGAAAGCAUGUUUAUCCCACAUAAAAAAAAAAAAUCCCAUAAGUGCAAUGCCCAGAAAGGGCUCUAAAUCCUCACGGCUGUGUAGUUUUGAAGAAAGCUGAGCUUUGUCUGGAUCAAAAUCUUAGAUGGCACAAAAGUUUUAGGCUAAUUUCAAAGUAAUUUUAAGUAGAAGGGCAUUUCUGGUGUACAGGUCUUUAUGAUAUUUGUUUUUUUUUAAUAAUAUAUAAUGUAUAUACAGAUGAAUGCAUGUAAAAUAAAAAGAGAUUUGUAAUGAA
ensembl:lncRNA